rnacentral:rRNA from 1 species
GAUGAACGCUGGCGGCGUGCCUAAUACAUGCAAGUCGAGCGAACAGACGAGGAGCUUGCUCCUCUGACGUUAGCGGCGGACGGGUGAGUAGCACGUGGAUAACCUACCUAUCAGACUGGGAUAACUUCGGGAAACCGGAGCUAAUACCGGAUAAUAUAUUGAACCGCAUGGUUCAAUAGUGAAAGACGGUUUUGCUGUCACUUAUAGAUGGAUCCGCGCCGCAUUAGCUAGUUGGUAAGGUAACGGCUUACCAAGGCGACGAUGCGUAGCCGACCUGAGAGGGUGAUCGGCCACACUGGAACUGAGACACGGUCCAGACUCCUACGGGAGGCAGCAGUAGGGAAUCUUCCGCAAUGGGCGAAAGCCUGACGGAGCAACGCCGCGUGAGUGAUGAAGGUCUUCGGAUCGUAAAACUCUGUUAUUAGGGAAGAACAAAUGUGUAAGUAACUAUGCACGUCUUGACGGUACCUAAUCAGAAAGCCACGGCUAACUACGUG